AGAGAAAUAGCUGGGUCAAAUGGUAGUUCCAUUCCUAGAUUUCCAAGGAAUCUCCAUACUGCUUUCCAAAUUGGCUGUAUCAAUUUGCAGUCCCACCAGCAAU
rnacentral:pre_miRNA from 1 species